rnacentral:rRNA from 1 species
CGUCGAGCGGCGGACGGGUGAGUAAUGCCUAGGAAAUUGCCCUGAUGUGGGGGAUAACCAUUGGAAACGAUGGCUAAUACCGCAUAAUACCUUCGGGUCAAAGAGGGGGACCUUCGGGCCUCUCGCGUCAGGAUAUGCCUAGGUGGGAUUAGCUAGUUGGUGAGGUAAUGGCUCACCAAGGCGACGAUCCCUAGCUGGUCUGAGAGGAUGAUCAGCCACACUGGAACUGAGACACGGUCCAGACUCCUACGGGAGGCAGCAGUGGGGAAUAUUGCACAAUGGGCGCAAGCCUGAUGCAGCCAUGCCGCGUGUGUGAAGAAGGCCUUCGGGUUGUAAAGCACUUUCAGUCGUGAGGAAGGUAGUGUAGUUAAUAGCUGCAUUAUUUGACGUUAGCGACAGAAGAAGCACCGGCUAACUCCGUGCCAGCAGCCGCGGUAAUACGGAGGGUGCGAGCGUUAAUCGGAAUUACUGGGCGUAAAGCGCAUGCAGGUGGUUUGUUAAGUCAGAUGUGAAAGCCCGGGGCUCAACCUCGGAAUAGCAUUUGAAACUGGCAGACUAGAGUACUGUAGAGGGGGGUAGAAUUUCAGGUGUAGCGGUGAAAUGCGUAGAGAUCUGAAGGAAUACCGGUGGCGAAGGCGGCCCCCUGGACAGAUACUGACACUCAGAUGCGAAAGCGUGGGGAGCAAACAGGAUUAGAUACCCUGGUAGUCCACGCCGUAAACGAUGUCUACUUGGAGGUUGUGGCCUUGAGCCGUGGCUUUCGGAGCUAACGCGUUAAGUAGACCGCCUGGGGAGUACGGUCGCAAGAUUAAAACUCAAAUGAAUUGACGGGGGCCCGCACAAGCGGUGGAGCAUGUGGUUUAAUUCGAUGCAACGCGAAGAACCUUACCUACUCUUGACAUCCAGAGAACUUUCCAGAGAUGGAUUGGUGCCUUCGGGAACUCUGAGACAGGUGCUGCAUGGCUGUCGUCAGCUCGUGUUGUGAAAUGUUGGGUUAAGUCCCGCAACGAGCGCAACCCUUAUCCUUGUUUGCCAGCACUU